rnacentral:tRNA from 1 species
GAGCCGAUACCCAAAUGGUUAAGGGGACGGAUUGCAAAUCCGUUAUGUGUGGGUUCGAAUCCCACUCGGCUCU